rnacentral:rRNA from 1 species
UACGUAGGGGGCUAGCGUUGUCCAGAAUCAUUGGGCGUAAAGAGCGUGUAGGCGGCCCGGUAAGUCCGCUGUGAAAGUCGGGGGCUCAACCCUCGAAUGCCGGUGGAUACUGUCGGGCUAGAGUGCGGAAGAGGCGAGUGGAAUUCCUGGUGUAGCGGUGAAAUGCGCAGAUAUCAGGAGGAACACCGAUUGCGAAGGCAGCUCGCUGGGACGUAACUGACGCUGAGACGCGAAAGCGUGGGGAGCAAACAGG